CCUCGCCGCUCGGCAGGGCACACACAGGGCUCCGGGCCACGGGGAGCUCAGCCCCCUAGCGACAGGCAAGGGGAGCUGUGGCCGCUGCUCCGGGCCCGAAGCUCUGGCUGGCGAGGCCGUGCCGCGGUGCUGCGUCCCGCCGACCACAGCUGCGCGCCUCGAGGAGGCAAGAGCGCACAGCCUCCCAGGCCAGCCAGGCCCUACUGCAGGAGCCGGCCAGCCACAGCGUCCUCAGUCCAGUCGCCUGCGCGGUGAGGCUCUGGGGCCGCUGUGGAUCCCAAACGUGCCGCCUUUCUAAACUCCGGGCGUCCAGGUCCUGGCCCAGCGCCUCGCUGUGACCGUCCUGGAGACCCGUCUGCACAGAGGGCUCUCGGAGAGGGCCCAGGCCUCGCACUGCAGAGGGCCCGUGAGGACGCGCAGAGGAGGUGUCGCCUGCAGCCCGCGCGCGAGAGGCCUGGCCUCCUGCCCUGGCAGGGAACCAAGCGAGCCCCAAGCGGAUGCCGACGCGGGCCCAGGCCUGCGGAGCGUGCGUUGCUGUUCUGUGCGCCCCUGUGGCCACCCUCGCCGACCACGCACGCCCAAACCUUAGACGAGAAGCCAAGCCGCAGGCAGAGGAAGCCAAAGGCCACAGGAAUUUCACAGCCAGCACAUGGGUGGCAGCCGGUGCCGCACGACGGCAAGCAAAAGGAACACAGCAAGGAAUUGCGCCUCGUUUUCUGGAAUCCAGGCUGGACAGCAGCCAUCUCUCCCCUGAGUCCCCCUGAGGAGUCGUGGAGAGCAGCUCCAAGCAGGUUUCCGGUGGUGCGUCUCAAACCCAUGGACAGGAAGCUGAGGUCAUCAGUUGCUUUCUCAUUGCUGUCCGGGGCCACCUACCGCCUCUGCCUCCCGACUGGAUGGAGUUGCCUUUCCUGUAGCCAUCGCCGGUAGACUCCAGAGCCCUGUGGUGUUGGCACUGCCUCCUAUCUAGGGAGCAUCCCAGACCCAGCCUGGGGCUCUGACUCAGCUCUGACUCAGGCCCAGGCCUCAUGACUCCAGACUCCUUCUGCUGCUUCCUGCAUGGCUGGUCUGGAUGCACGUUCAGUGUGUGUGGAAAAUGCGGUGAUGGCCACUUGAACACACCGAGGUCAGCAGCCUGCAGGGCCCCCUGGGGACCCUACAGUCCGGUACUGGGCUUUGGUCCUAACUCUCCUCAGCCACCGGAGGGCACCCCGAAGAUCCACUUAGGAAUCGGCUUUUGCCAUUCACCACUGAGCAUCUCAAGGAAGAGAAUUUGAGGGUCAGGUUCUUCAGUACUUCUCCUUUCUGGGCAGCUGCAGACAGCAAUGGAGAACAAAAGUAGAAUCCAGUCUUGGUGCGUAUAAAAGCUUCUUUUCAGGUGUCUCAGAGGAGCAUCUCCUUAGUAGGAGAGAGAACGCUGACCUAAGGAGCUGGCGUGGUGCUUUGGCUGCAACAGUGCACCGUGACUGAGGGAAGCCCAUCAAACCCUAAGGAGAUUUGGCUCACCUUUUGCAUUUCAACUGACCAAAUCAGUCCUUUGAGGGAGAGGGGAUGGAAACGGGUUUUUGAAUUACAUUAGCUACCUCUAGCAUUUGCUCCUCAGAAUUACCUGGUGACAGCGCAGUGCCACAGCGUGCAUCAGGAUGUCCAGAGAGGCCUGGCACCCAGCGUGCCACUGCUCAGGGUGGCAGAGCCUUUAGGAGUCACAGGGCAGGAGCCCUCAGAGGGCUGUGGGUCCGGUCCUCCCUCUCACUGGGCCUCCUGGCCCCAGCACCCUGACUGCUUGGCUGGGAGACACUGGUUUGUGCCCCUGUGAUGUGUACAUCACAUGACCAAAUGCACCAGAGCUGGGCCACACAUGGGAUUUGUGAACAGAUCAGAUGGCAUUGGAAGCUCCCAGAAACAGCAAACCUCCAAGUACUUUGCAAAGGGCUCACGCUAUGCAAUCAGUCCGAGGCUGGUGGAACAGCGCAGCGCUGCAGUCCUGUGGUAAGGUCCCGAAACUCCAGAAGCUGCAUUUUUGCUACUGGUUUCCAUCCCCAAAUGGCAGGCAGUUAAGACGGGGUACCUGCUACUUUCUGACUAGAAAUAUCCUGUCUAUGUACACUGAUGAGGCUGUGUCUAAGUAUAACUUUUUAUUGUAUGAAAAAUAUAUAUAUGACAUAAAUGUUACUAUUUGGGCCAUUUUAAGUGUGCAAUGUGUGGAUACUACGUAAGGAUGUUUGCGGUGUGUGUAACCACCACUGUUAUCUGUGUGGGGGACGUUUCCACCACCCCCGCAGAUGCUCUGUACCUGUGAGUAUUGCAGAUAGGUAAGUUCAUUAGAUCUCUGGUAGGCCGUUAGACAGGGCCAGCCCACGAAGAGCCAACAUGGAGGACAGUGAUGACACACUCACUGAAGGCCAGCAUUGUAAAAGGAGAGAAACUACACACCCUUGUGCUUCCCCUAAGGAUGGAUAGCAGUGAUUGAUCUUCUAAAUAGGUAUCAAUCCCCUAGAUGGGUGGCCAAGAUAUUCCAAGAAAGAUCCCUGAGAAUCCUUGCUCAUUCCUUGUACGCUUUCACGUGACUUGCGUCCCCACUGGAUCCCCAUUUAAUCAAUAUCACCUAAGUGACUGUACUUGGAAACUUAGUAGUUGACUACAGUUUUGUCCCACCUUGAAUCUGCCUCACCUCAUGGCUUAAAACACCUUUGAGAAGCAAGGUGAGUGGGUCACCCACUUUUCUCUCAGUCCAUUUUUUCCUACUGUUAACCUCCGUUGUUCCCAGAAUUCAUUCUUCAGUUUUAGAGAACACGAACUCGUGCUUCGGAUGUCUAACAGGUUUGGGGGUUACAUCUGUUCCCCCUGUAUCACUGUUAUCUGGAAAAUGGCAAAACUGUGAGAAUCCUUACAGUGAAAGUCUGAGCCUGUCUGCUAACAUUCGGGCAUCGGAAUGGCCUCGGGCUGGACGCACUCACUCCAGGUAGACAGGACGCCUAACUGCGGGAGGGUCUGCUGAGCAGGAGGGCGCUGCAGCCCAGGGGAGUGCAACCCCGCAGAGUGUGGAGGCCGAGGGCUCAGGGGCUCAGGAAGGCGCAGGCGCAGGCCGAGGGCUCAGGGGUGGUGGAGCCCUGCUCUCCACAAGUCCUGCGUGUCAGUCGCCACCUGAGCCCGAACACUUCCAGAGCCCUGGCCCAUGACCACCGCGUGGUUUGAAUGUGCUUCCGCACGCCUGUCUGUUGGUCCCGAGCUCCUCAGUGUGGAGUGGGCAGGGCCCUCCAGGGAGGUGACUGGGUCCUGGAGGCCGGGCCUCGAGAGGGACGGAUGUUCCCUUGUGAGACCGAGGUUGCCCCUGCCGGUGCAGUCCAUCUCUCUCCCUCCUGUGCCUGUUUCCUUCCCUUUCUGCCAGGAGGGAAGCAGCUGAGGCCCUCACCAAACCUGGUCUGCCAGUCUUGGCCUUCCCACCCUCCAAGACUGUGAACCAAAAGGAGCUUCUCUCCUUCAUACCAUCCAUCUUGGAUAUUCUGUGUCAGCAGCCGUGAACUUCCCAGAAAGCUGGUUAACCCCAGAUCCACAAUGGCGUCUGGUAGCCAUUUGCUAAGCAGGGCCACACAAGUUCUCUGUGGACCGAGCCCAUGGCCCGGGAACGCUCUUCCUUCAACACCGAGACGAAGCCUGUGGAAGCCUGGUUUGCUCUGCCCUGGCCGGUGACCGAGACCUCCAGGAAGCCAGGACCGCUCCUCCCUGGCAGAGGCGGGCGGGCGUGGGCCCUGGGCCGGUCUCUGUCUGUCCCUUUAGGGCCCGCUGCCCUGGCGUCUCAGAGGCUGUGACUCUGCACUUUGCCUUUCUUUCCUUCCUUUCCAUAUAAAGCCUUGUCUUCUCUAUUGAGCUUCUCUUUGGUGAAUUUUGGUUGACACAAAGAAAAUAAAUGAAGACGCCACUGAAAGGACAUUGGUCUACAGCCGGAACUGUCACCACACUUCGUGGCCUUGGCGUGAAAGUCAGUCUUUGGACAACCAUGGAUAGUACUGCAGAGCACACGGAAGAGCUCAGCUGCUGAGGACUCCCAGGGCGACAAGGACCUGUUUUCACUUGGACCCCAGCUCUCUCCUUGCUGCUCUGCCAGUGGGCACUUGGCAGCCCACCUCUUUCCGGGACCUGCUUCUCCUGAAAGCACAGGGCUUCGGUCCAGGAGAAAUACGUGCACUUAAAGACAUCCUAAACUGCCCAAGGCAUCCUGUUAAUGUGCACCACAACAUUCUUCAAAGGAGGAAAAAAGAAAAGAGAAAGAAAGUCUUUGUAAAGAGAAGAGUUCGCCUUUGUGCACUUGGAUCACAAACGUCACAAAUUAAACUGCAACCUAGUUAAGCGCCGGAAGCCACACGGGCUGUGGACGGUGCUUUCUGUCUCCACAGCCAACAUUUACAGUGGGUCUAGCGCUGUGCUGGAUCCUUUCUAUGGACAGACUCCCUUGUUCUCAGGCAACCCUAGCAGCUGAAUGUGCUAAGUGGUCAGCAGGCCAUGCAGGGCGCCCGAGGCUUCCCCCACCUGCAGCUCUGCUCCACCGGGCCCUGCCACCGUGAAGACUGCGCUGGAGCCAGUGGGCUGUGGACGGGACCCUCUGAAACUCUGCUCCUUCCUCAGGCCCCAAGCCUCAGCGGCUGUGAGGAAGGAGAGCCGUCCCCAGGAAUCUCAGCCUGAAAUCCGGCGAAGCCGCCUCUCUCCGGCUCAGAUCCUUGUCUCUGUGUCACGUUCGCUUGUUCCUUCCUCUCGGGUGUCUGCACUGUGCCUCCCAGGGAUCCAGAACAAGUGCUGUGACAGGUGUGUCCUGGCAGGCACGGGCAGCAGGCCAUGGACAGCACAGCUGUGCGCCAGCUCCCCUCUCCUCACAAUUCAAGUGUUGCGCUGGCCGUGGGGACGCACACCGGCAGUCCCAGCCCUCGGUGGGAGGCUGAGGACGUGGCAGAGCUCAGAGCCAGCCUGGACCACAUCUCACAAAACAAAACAAGAAUCCCUGUUUGGAAGCCCUAACCGCAGGACUUCAGAACGGGAGAGCACUUGGAGGUCCCGGAGGAGGACUCAGCUUGGAGCAGGUUGCGGAGAUGAGCACUAACAGGACGGUGCCCUUCAGAGGGGCGCCGGGGGCCAGGCUCACGAGGAGCCUCUGGAGGACACGUUGGGG
rnacentral:lncRNA from 1 species